UACGUAGGGGGCAAGCGUUGUCCCGGAUUCAUUGGGCGUAAAGAGCGUGUAGGCGGCCAGGUAGGUCGGUUGUGAAAACUGGAGGCUCAACCUUCAGACGUCGACCGAAACCAUCUGGCUAGAGUCCGGGAGAGGAGAGUGGAAUUCCGUGGUGUAGCGGUGAAAUGCGCAGAUAUCAGGAAGAACACCCGUGGCGAAAGCGGCUCUCUGGAACGGUACUGACGCUGAGACGCGAAAGCGUGGGGAGCGAACAGG
rnacentral:rRNA from 1 species